rnacentral:rRNA from 1 species
UAACAUGCAGUCGAACGGCAGCACGGGCUUCGGCCUGGUGGCGAGUGGCGAACGGGUGAGUAAUGCAUCGGAACGUGCCCAUGUUGUGGGGGAUAACUACGCGAAAGCGUGGCUAAUACCGCAUACGCCCUGAGGGGGAAAGCGGGGGAUUCUUCGGAACCUCGCGCAAUUGGAGCGGCCGAUGUCAGAUUAGCUUGUUGGUGAGGUAAAGGCUCACCAAGGCGACGAUCUGUAGCGGGUCUGAGAGGAUGAUCCGCCACACUGGGACUGAGACACGGCCCAGACUCCUACGGGAGGCAGCAGUGGGGAAUUUUGGACAAUGGGGGCAACCCUGAUCCAGCCAUGCCGCGUGAGUGAAGAAGGCCUUCGGGUUGUAAAGCUCUUUCAGCCGGGAAGAAAACGCACGCUCUAACAUAGCGUGUGGAUGACGGUACCGGACCAAGAAGCACCGGCUAACUACGUGCCAGCAGCCCCGGUCAACC